GCCUAACACAUGCAAGUCGAGCGGUAGAGAGAAGCUUGCUUCUCUUGAGAGCGGCGGACGGGUGAGUAAUACCUAGGAAUCUGCCUGAUAGUGGGGGAUAACGUUCGGAAACGGACGCUAAUACCGCAUACGUCCUACGGGAGAAAGCAGGGGACCUUCGGGCCUUGCGCUAUCAGAUGAGCCUAGGUCGGAUUAGCUAGUUGGUGAGGUAAUGGCUCACCAAGGCUACGAUCCGUAACUGGUCUGAGAGGAUGAUCAGUCACACUGGAACUGAGACACGGUCCAGACUCCUACGGGAGGCAGCAGUGGGGAAUAUUGGACAAUGGGCGAAAGCCUGAUCCAGCCAUGCCGCGUGUGUGAAGAAGGUCUUCGGAUUGUAAAGCACUUUAAGUUGGGAGGAAGGGCAGUUACCUAAUACGUGAUUGUCUUGACGUUACCGACAGAAUAAGCACCGGCUAACUCUGUGCCAGCAGCCGCGGUAAUACAGAGGGUGCAAGCGUUAAUCGGAAUUACUGGGCGUAAAGCGCGCGUAGGUGGUUUGUUAAGUUGAAUGUGAAAUCCCCGGGCUCAACCUGGGAACUGCAUCCAAAACUGGCAAGCUAGAGUAUGGUAGAGGGUAGUGGAAUUUCCUGUGUAGCGGUGAAAUGCGUAGAUAUAGGAAGGAACACCAGUGGCGAAGGCGACUAC
rnacentral:rRNA from 1 species